UACGAAGGACCCAAGCGUUAUCCGGAUUUAUUGGGUUUAAAGGGUGCGUAGGCGGAUUAUUAAGUCAGUGGUGAAAGCCUGCAGCUUAACUGCAGAACUGCCAUUGAUACUGAUGAUCUUGAGUAUGAUUGAGGCGGGCGGAAUGUGUCAUGUAGCGGUGAAAUGCUUAGAUAUGACACAGAACACCGAUUGCGAAGGCAGCUCACUAAGCCAUAACUGACGCUGAUGCACGAAAGCGUGGGGAGCAAACAGG
rnacentral:rRNA from 1 species